GAGGCGAAACGACUGUGAAGGAGCCCUUUAUUUUCAGAAAUAGCUCGACUCAAAAUAGAGGAGAGGGGAGAAGCGAAACGACUGAAUCUAAUAGGAGUGGUAUUAUUCAAUAGCUCUCCAAAUAAGGAAGGAGAGGGUCAAAGAAUUUGAGGCGAAACGACUGUAUUAUAAUAUUAAUAGGAGUGGUAUUAUGAAAUAACUCUCCAAAUAAGGAAGGAGAGGGUCAAAGAAUUUGAGGCGAAACGACUGUAUUAUCAUAAAAGAAGGAGUGGUAUUAUUCAAUAGCUCUCCAAAUAGUAAGGAGAGGGGAGAAGCGAAACGACUGUAUCUAAUAGGAGUGGUAUUAUUCAAUAGCUCUCAAAAUAAGGAAGGAGAGGGUCAAAGAAUUUGAGGCGAAACGACUGUAUUAUCAUAAAAGAAGGAGUGGCAUUAUGUUUAUUUUAUAUGGAUUUCUGAGUCCUCCGGACGACUCCAAAUAGAGGAGAGGGUCAAAGAAUUUGAGGCGAAACGACUUCAUUAUUGAA